rnacentral:lncRNA from 1 species
ACACAAGCUCUCUUGCCUUCUGCCAUGUAAGAUAUGACUGUGCUCCUCCUUCACCUUCUGCCAUGAUUGUGAGGCCUCCACAGCCAUGUGGAACUGGAAGCUGUUUUUCCCUCUUUGGGGUCUCAGAGAGAUUGGUGGCAAGGACUCCUGGGAAGAGAAAAGCUGAAGGACACUCUGGCAAGAGGUACCACCUCUCACUGGCUGCCCAAGCAAGAUUCUAUGGCUUGGAAUAAUUCUCAGCGACUCACUCAUCAAAGGGCAUCUAUCUAGAAGCCCUGCUCCUUCAGGGACAUCUGAGGUUGAUGAGCUGAUCCAAUAAGCCAUCAGAGCUGGAAUAGUAGUAGUUAACAAUGGCUCUCUGCACUCUUUUUAAAUAACUUUGCUUUUCAGGCCAAGGUGAGAGCCUCGUGGGAAUUUCACAAAUUUUAUAGAAGCAGAGGAGUGCUAUUUGAGCAAGGGGCGGAUAACACCUACAAUCCACUCAGGAUUUCCAAGCAUAGCCGGAUGCAGAAGUACUCAUACUUCACUACAGAAUCACCUGGGGAGCUUUUAACCUUCUGAUUCUAGUGUUUCCCUCUGGCAGAUGGAGACAGAAACUUGACUGGGCUCAGGAAUAUGUGUUUUUAAAAUUCUCCAGAAGAUUUUAAUGCAGUACAAGUAAGAAGACAGGACUGCAAUUCACAAGAACAGUAUAUCCUGGUGAUUCCUCAGAACAGAACAGACUCAAAAAAAAAAAAAAAAGAAGAAGACAAAAACAAAGAUAACAUGAAACCAGAUUCCACAACCAUGUUUCAAGUGACCUAUGUGAGUCAGGCCCAUGAGACACAUACUACACCAGUUU